rnacentral:rRNA from 1 species
UACGUAGGGGGCAAGCGUUGUCCGGAAUCAUUGGGCGUAAAGAGCGUGUAGGCGGCCCGAUAAGUCCGCCGUGAAAGCCCAGGGCCCAACCCUGGGAUGCCGGUGGAUACUGUCGGGCUAGAAUCCGGAAGAGGCGAGUGGAAUUCCUGGUGUAGCGGUGAAAUGCGCAGAUAUCAGGAGGAACACCGAUGGCGAAGGCAGCUCGCUGGGACGGUAUUGACGCUGAGACGCGAAAGCGUGGGGAGCAAACAGG